CGUGUUCCCCUCUGAGCCUGCGCGUUAAGAGUUGCAGUACCAAAAUGCGCAGACGCCAAGUUGGAGGCUACGACUUCAGUUUAGUAAGGAGAUAAAGGCUCCUUAGAAAGUGGGAUCCCAGGCCUUCUCCUACUCUUCAUUGGUUCUCCUGGGACAGAGUUGUCUAACUGACAAGUGAAGCCCACAGGACGGGGUAGCAUCCACAUCCUGUAUCUCACAGCUGCUGAUAACUCCAGGGACACCAGACUGACUGCCUGGAAAUCAGUAUUCUGCUAGAAGCCUUCAGAUGAAG
rnacentral:sRNA from 1 species